rnacentral:rRNA from 1 species
UACGUAGGAUCCAAGCGUUGUCCGGAUUUACUGGGUGUAAAGGGUGCGCAGGCGGACUUAUAAGUCAGGGGUGAAAUCUCACUGCUCAACAGUGAAACUGCCUUUGAUACUGUAGGUCUUGAAUUAGGGAGAGAUUCGUGGAAUUCCGAGUGUAGCAGUGAAAUGUGUAGAUAUUCGGAAGAACACCAGAGGCGAAGGCAGCGAAUUGGCCCUAUAUUGACGCUCAGGCACGAAAGCAUGGGGAUCAAACAG